CAGCCGCCGCGGGAAAACAGAGGGUGCGAGCGUUAAUCGGAUUUACUGGGCGUAAAGCGUGCGUAGGCGGCUUUUUAAGUCGGAUGUGAAAUCCCUGAGCUUAACUUAGGAAUUGCAUUCGAUACUGGGAAGCUAGAGUAUGGGAGAGGAUGGUAGAAUUCCAGGUGUAGCGGUGAAAUGCGUAGAGAUCUGGAGGAAUACCGAUGGCGAAGGCAGCCAUCUGGCCUAAUACUGACGCUGAGGUACGAAAGCAUGGGGAGCAAACAGGAUUAGAUACCCGCGUAGUCCCUGUCUCUUAUAA
rnacentral:rRNA from 1 species